rnacentral:rRNA from 1 species
AUGAUGGUGCAGAUCUUGGAAACAAUUCAACUGGGCACCAUGGCGCUGAAUUCAAGUACAACUUCUUGCCGGAAAGGCAUUCAUCGGCCUCCACUUGUGCGCCAAUCUAUGAUGCCUGCGCUCGCGGUGUCAGGUCACGCUCUGCUGCAAUUGUGCAUGCUGCCUCUACGCGGCCCCAUCAAGGAAUACAGCCCAGCUGAGAUUUUUCAUAUCAUCUCUACCAUGGCGGCAUCGUUGCAAGAGAUUCAGGUAGUGGUGCAUCCGGACGUUGUCAAAAUCUCUCCCAAACCUGUAAUGAAGUGCUCGACAAAGGAUGCUAGCGCUAUAUUGCCUGCUGAAUUUUUCUGA